UACGUAGGGUGCAAGCGUUAAUCGGAAUUACUGGGCGUAAAGCGUGCGCAGGCGGUUGUGCAAGACAGAUGUGAAAUCCCCGGGCUCAACCUGGGAACUGCAUUUGUGACUGCACGGCUGGAGUGCGGCAGAGGGGGAUGGAAUUCCGCGUGUAGCAGUGAAAUGCGUAGAUAUGCGGAGGAACACCGUUGGCGAAGGCAAUCCCCUGGGCCUGCACUGACGCUCAUGCACGAAAGCGUGGGGAGCAAACAGG
rnacentral:rRNA from 1 species